AUUUUCUUUAGCAGAAAAGAUUAAAAGUGGGGAUACAGAAAGCUUUCAGCAAUACGUUUGUUCCAAAAAAUGAGCUGCCAUCAAACAGAUAAUGUGGCAAAAUUAUAUUUGCAAUGGACAGUCACGUAUAUCGAGCCAUGUUAGGUAUUUCUUUGUUCUGUUUUUAGAGGAGACCCAUUUUUAAGGCAAAACCAUUUUAGGUUGGAAAAGACCUACAAGAUCAUCCAGUCCAACCAUCCACCUACCACCAACAACCCCACUAAACCAUGUCUCCCAACGCUAUAUCUAAACGUUUCUUGAACAUCUCCAGGGACGGUGACUCCACCACCUCCCUGGGCAGCCCAUUCCAGCGUCUGACCACUCUUUCAGAAAAGUAGUGUUUCCUAAUGUCCAGCCUAAAUCUCCCCUGGCGCAACUGGAGGCCAUUCCCCCUCGUCCUGUCACCAGUUACAAGAGAGAAGAGGCCGACCCCCAGCUCACCACAACCUCCCUUCAGGAGUUAUAGAGAGCGAUGAGGUCUCCCCUGAGCCUCCUCUUCUCCAGACUGAACAAUCCCAGCUCCCUCAGCCGCUCCUCAUCAGCCCUGUGCUCCAGACCCCUCACAGCUUCGAGGUUCGCCGUAAAAUAUUAAUUAAGACACAGCUGAUUUUAGCAACAAGAGGAGACGUCGUUGGCAAAACACCAAUUACAGCUGAGGAGGCAGGAGAGAAGAAGUAAUGUUUCCAGGUCCCAUCAGCCUGUACCUGUCAUGGACUGAGCUGCUCUCUGCUGAAUGGUAGGGCUGAGAUGUGACUGAUAACCAGGUGUGAAACAUGCUUCCUUUCCAGCUGAGAGCCAAUUUUAAGAGCUGCUGAGCAUGAGAGAGGAUUUGACCCUCACUGCAAGUUCUUCUCCCCGUUAUUUUGCACCCACCCUUCUCUGUGCCUAUGUCUCAUGCAGGAAGUGGUUACUGCUCUCCUGGUGUUGGGCUCCCUGUCGCAGCUGCAUGUGAUCAUCCUGAUCCACGCUGGGACUCUACAGCAGCUCGCCUCCAAAUGUGUCUUGCAGCCAGGACAGUGCUAUGCCAAGAGACUGAUCUUUGCAAACUGUGAAGGGCUAUCCACCUCUUGCUUGACUUCUGGUGACAGGACACUGCUGAAAAUGGACCUUUCAUCUUGCCAGGAAUAG
rnacentral:lncRNA from 1 species